rnacentral:lncRNA from 1 species
GAUACCCGUAUAACAAGGCCUAGGGUUGCAGACCUACAAGGAGAUGCUUAUAUAUAUAGUCUUUAUUAAAAAGGGAGUUGAAUCAUAUAUGUCAUUUGAAUGUCUUGGGGUUUUGCUGUGUUUUUUUUUGAGAGAAGUGGCACUUUUUUGGGGUUCAGUGAAAAAUAUUUUUCUAUUCUAAAAAUGUAUACAGUACUUCUUAAAAGGUAAGAUUUUUAAAGAAAACAUCUUACAUAUUUUUCUUUUUUAAUUAUUAAAGAAUCUGAUCUAGUAGAGAAUGUUUUGCAAUUCCAGUACUAUAGCUUUAAUAUAAAUAAGGUUUGAGGAUUUUUUUUUUUAAGGGUUAGAGUCUUUUGUCAUUUCUAAUGGUAUGAGCUUCAGUAGUAGCCUUAAGAAUGUGACAAAAUGAUGUAUUAUUUUAAAUUAAAAUUUAAAAAAAAUGUUUACAUAGUCCAGUUCAUUCUCUGAAUCAGAAUUGCCUGGUAUAUAACACAUGGUUCUAUUACUCCGAAAAUUAAAAAGGACUUGUAACCAGUUAGAGCAGGAAUUGCAACCCAUAUAUUUUUCUAGGUUUCUGCCAUAGCUAGUCCCUAGCAUGAUGCAUGGUAUAAAAUUAGUCUCUGAAGUAUUUGUCGAAUGAGUAUUGUAGGUGAAUACUUGCUAAAGAAAGGUAUUUUGGAGAGUACUGGUUGAAGCAAUCUGGCUUAAACCACCCUCUGUGAUAAUAUUUAACUUUAUAUAUGAACCUAUAAAGGGAACUAUAUUUCAGUUUGUCUGAACAUUCUCAAUGGAAAGAAUUAUUGAUGUUAUAUUUUUACAUACUCAGUUGUAAUGUAAGUAUUUUUAGUUUGUUUAAUUUUGUUAAAAAUGUCCUCAAUCAUGUUUUUGUGGAGGCCCCUCCUCCCUUUUUAAUUGAAGUAUAGUUGAUUUACAAUGUUGUGUUAGUUUCUGGUGUACAGCAAAGUGAUUCAUAUACACACACAUAUUUGUAGAGCCCAUUUUUAAAAUAAUUAAGACCUCAGUUAUAUUUAUGAUAUGAAUAACAUGUUUUGAAGUAAUAACACUAUUUUAAAGGAGUUACCCAGUAUUCGAUUACUUUAUCUUAUUGUUUUCAUCUCACAGCAUUGUCACCCAAAGGACCUUUUUCCCUCUUCAGUAUUUAUAAGAUUCUGCUAACGGAAAAGUUAAAUUUUAUAAAUCUUACAAAUUUAUUAUGAAAUUGCCAAUGAUUUAUAUGUUCCUGUUAAAGAAAACCAUUUCAGAAAUUCGUUUAUAUUUGGAUGACUAAUAAGUCUCAUAUAAGAUUAUUACAUGUUUGAGGGAUUUUUCCUUUUAGAAAAGUAAAAUUUUUUGGGGUGAGUGUGUAGCUAGGGAAGAAUAAUAGAUUGUAAAAGGUGAGCAUUGUGAGCAUUUACUCUUGAUAGCUGGGCCCAGUUCAGAUAGUUUAGCAUAAACGUCAUUGAGCAUUGCAUAAGAGUAGGUCAGAAGAUUCCCAGCCUAUGUCUUCUUUUUUAAAACUUGAGGUAACGUUGGUGUUUAUAACAUUAUAUGUUGACUUCUGUAUACACUACAGUGUUCUCACCAUCAAAAGUUUAGUUUCCAUCUGUCCAUCACCAUACCAGUUGACUCUCUUUGCCCAUUUUAUUCUCCCACACAUUCCCCCUUCCCUUCUGGUAACCACUGCUGUCUCUCUGUAUCUGUGUGUUUGUUUGGUUUUCUUCAUUUAUUUUUAUAUUCCACAUAUGAGUGAAAUCAUACAGUAUUUGUUUUUCUCCAUCUGACUUGUCUUCACAUAAUACCCUUAAGUUCCUUACAGAUUGUUGCAGAUGGCAAGAUUUCAUCUUUUUUUUUUUUAAUGACUGAGGAGUAUUCCAUUUCGUUUGUGUGUGUGUAUGUGUGCAUAUAUAUACACACAUGCACACACACCACAUCUUCUUUAUCCAUUCAUCUGUCAGUGGGCACUUAGGUUGGUUCCAUAUCUAGGAUAUUGUAAAUGAUGCUGCUAUGAAUAUAGGGGUGCAUAUGAUUUUCUGAAUGAGUGUUUUCAUAUUCUUUGGAUAAAUACCCACAAGUGGAAUAGCUGGAUUAUAUGGUAAUUUAUUUUAUUUUUUUUGCGGUACGUGGGCCUCUCCCUGCUGUGACCUCUCCCGUUGCGGAGCACAGGCUCUGGACGCGCGGGCUCAGCAGCCAUGGCUCACGGGCCCAGCCGCUCUGCGGCAUGUGGGAUCUUCCCGGAACGGGGCAGGAACCCGUGUCCCCUGCAUUGGCAGGCAGACUCUCAACCACUGCGCCACCAGGGAAGCCCGGUAAUUUUAUUUUUUAAUUUUUUGAGGAAGCUGCAUACUGUUUUCCAUAGUGGCUGCACCAUUUUGCAUUCCCACGAACAGUGUCCAAGGGUUCCAAUAUCUCCAUAUGCUCUCCAACACUUGUUAUUUCUUGUCUUUCUGAUAACAGCCAUUCUAACCAGAGUGGUGGAAUACCUCAUUGUGGUUUUGAUUUGCCUUUCCUUAAUAAUUAAUGAUGCUGAGCAUCUUUUCAUGUACCUGCUGGCAUCUGUAUGUAUUUUUAGGAAAAUGUAUAUUCAGCUGUUCUGCCCGUUUUUAAAUCAUGUUUGCUUUUUGUUGAGUUGUAUGUGUUAUAUGUUUUAGAUAUUAAUCUCUUAUUGGAUAUAUGAUUUGCAAUCUUUUUUCUGCUAUUGGUAGGUUGUCUUUUCAUUUUGUUGAUGGUUUCCUUUGCUAUGGAGAAGCCCUUUAGUUUGAUGUAGUCCCAUUUGUUUAUUUUUGCAUUUGUUCCCUUGCCUAAGGAGCCAGAUCCAAAAAAAAUAUUGCUAAGACCUUCAUCAAAGAGUGUACUGUCUGUGUUUUCUUCUAUUGCUAAGACCUUCGUCAAAGAGUGUACUGUCUGUGUUUUCUUCUAUUGCUGAGACCUUCGUCAUAGAGUGUACUGUCUGUGUUUUCUUCUAUGGGUUUUUUAUGGUUUUAGGUCUUAUAUUUAAGUCUAAUUCAUUUUGUGUAUGGUGUAAGAUAGUGGUCUAGUUUCAUUCUUUUGUUUGUGGCUGUCCAGUUUUCCCAGCACCAUUUAUUGAAGAGACUCAUUUCUCUGUUGAAUGUACUUUGCUCCUUUUUCAUACAUUAAUUGUUCACGUACGUGUGGAUUUAUUUCUGGGCUCUGAAUUCUGUUUCAUUGGUCUGUGUGUCUUAUUUUUCUGUCAAUACCAUGUUCUUUUGAUUACCAUAGCUUUGCAGUAUAACUUGAAAUCAGGGAGUGUGAUACCUCCAGCUUCUGAUUUGUAUUUUAUUUCAGAGUUGCUUUGGUUAUUUGGGGGUUUUGUGGUUCUGUAUAAGCUUUAGGAGUUUUUGUUUCAUUUCUAUGAAAACUCUUAUGAUUUUGAUAGGGAUUGUGUUGAAUCUGUAGGUUGCUUUAGGUAAUGUGGACAUUUUAUCAAUGUUAAUUCCAGUUCAUGAGCACAGAAUGUCUUUCCAUUUCUUUGUGUGUUCUUCAGUUUCAUUCAACAAUGUCUUAAGAGUUUUCAGUACACAGAUCUUUCACCUCCUUGGUUCAAUACAUUCCUAGGUAUUUUAUUCUUUUUGUUGUAAUUGUAAAUGGAAUUGUUUUCUUAAUUUCUCUCUCUGCUAGUUUGUUGUUAGCAUAUGGAAACACAGCAGUUUUUUGUAUAUUGAUUUUGCAUGCUGCAACCUUAGUGUAUUAAAAAUUUUUUUUUAAAUUUAUUUUUGGCUGUGCUGGGUCUUCAUUGUUGCACGUGGGCUUCCUCUAGUCGUGGUGAGUGGGGUCUACCCUUCGUUGUGGUUCGUGGGCUUCUCAUUGUGGUGGCUUCUCUUGUUGCGGAGCACGGGCUCCAGGCGCACAUGCUCAGUAGUUGUGGUGCACAGGCCUAGUUGCUCCGUGGCAUGUGGGAUCUUCCUGGACCAGGGCUUGAACCCAUGUCCCCUGCACUGGCAGGCGGAUUCCCAACCACUGUGCCACCAGGGAAGUCCCUGUAUUUAUUAUUUUUAAUAGUUUUUUGGUGGGGUCUUUAGAGUUUUCUAUGUAUACAUCAUGUCAUCUACAAAGUGGCAGUUCUACUUCUUCCUUUCCAAUUUGGAUGCCUUUUUUUUCCUUUUUCUUCCCUAAUCGCUCUAGCUAGGACUUCCAGUACUAUGUUGAGUAAGAGUGGCUAGAGUAAGCAUCCUUGUCUUGUUCCUGAUCUUAGAGGGAUGGCUUUCAGUGUUUCACUGUUGAGUAUAAUGUUAGUCAUGGGUUUGUCAUAAAUGGCCCUUGUUAUGAUGAGGUAUGUUCCUGCUAUACCCAUUUUAUUGACAGUUUUUAUUAUACAUCAGUAUUGAAUCUUGUCAAAUAUCAAUAUUUUUCUACAUCUAUUGAGAUGAUCAUAUGAUUUUUAUCUUUCAUUUGGUUGCUGUGAUGUAUCAUACUGAUUUGCAGAUGUGGAACCAUCCUGCAUCCCUGGAAUAAAUCCUACUUGAUCAUGGUGUUUGAUCAUUUUAAUUAUUGUAUUUGUUUUGCUAAUAUUUGUGGAGUACUUUUGCAUCUAUGUUCAUCAGGAUAUUGCCUAUAAUUUUCUUCUUUUGUAUUGUCCUUGUGUUGGCUUUGUAAAAUGAAUUUAGAAGCAUUCCCUCCUCUUCAGUUUUUUGGAAGAGUUUGAGAAGGAUAGGUAUUAGCUGUUCUUUGAAUGUUCGGUAGAAUUCACCUGUGAAGCCAUCUGGUCCUAGACUUUUGUUUUUUGGGAGGUAUUUGAUUACUAUUUCAAUCUCUCUCGUAGUGAUUGGUCUAUUCAGGUUUUCUGUUUCUUCAUGAUUCAGUCUUAGAAGGUUAUAUGAUUCUAAGUAUUUAUGUAUUUCUUCUAGACUGCCCAAUUUGUUGGCAUAUAAUUUUCGUAGUAUUAUAAUCUGUUGUAUUUCUGUGGUAUCCAUUGUAAUUUCUCCUUUUUGUCUCGGAUUUUAUUUAUCAGAGACUUCUUAGACAGUCUAGCUAAAGGUUUGUCAAUUUUGUUCCUUU